rnacentral:rRNA from 1 species
GACGAACGCUGGCGGCGUGCUUAACACAUGCAAGUCGAACGGAAAGGCCCUGCUUUUGUGGGGUGCUCGAGUGGCGAACGGGUGAGUAACACGUGAGUAACCUGCCCUUGACUUUGGGAUAACUUCAGGAAACUGGGGCUAAUACCGGAUAGGAGCUCCUGCUGCAUGGUGGGGGUUGGAAAGUUUCGGCGGUUGGGGAUGGACUCGCGGCUUAUCAGCUUGUUGGUGGGGUAGUGGCUUACCAAGGCUUUGACGGGUAGCCGGCCUGAGAGGGUGACCGGCCACAUUGGGACUGGGAUACCGCCCAGACUCCUACGGGAGGCAGCAAGGGGGGAUAUUGCGCAAUGGGCGGGAGGAGGAUGCAGCAACGCCGCGUCCGGGAUGACGGCCUUCGGGUUGUAAGCCGCUUUUGCCUGUGACGAAGCGUGAGUGACGGUAAUGGGUAAAGAAGCACCGGCUAAAUACGU